rnacentral:rRNA from 1 species
AUUGAACGCUGGCGGCAUGCCUUACACAUGCAAGUCGAACGGUAACGGGCCUUCGGGUGCCGACGAGUGGCGAACGGGUGAGUAAUACAUCGGAACGUGCCCGAUCGUGGUGGAUAACGAGGCGAAAGCUUUGCUAAUACCUCAUACGAUCUACGGAUGAGAGCAGGGGACCGCAAGGCCUUGCGCGGACGGAGCGGCCGAUGGCGGAUUAGGUAGUUGGUGGGAUAAAAGCUUACCAAGCCGACGAUCUGUAGCUGGUCUGAGAGGAUGAUCAGCCACACUGGGACUGAGACACGGCCCAGACUCCUACGGGAGGCAGCAGUGGGGAAUUUUGGACAAUGGGCGCAAGCCUGAUCCAGCCAUGCCGCGUGCAGGAUGAAGGCCUUCGGGUUGUAAACUGCUUUUGUACGGAACGAAAAGCCUUCUUUUAAUACAGGAGGGUCAUGACGGUACCGGAAGAAUAAGCACCGGCUAACUACGUG